CAGCCGCCGCGGUAAUACGGAGGGUGCAAGCGUUAAUCGGAAUUACUGGGCGUAAAGCGCACGCAGGCGGUCUGACAAGUCAGAUGUGAAAUCCCCGGGCUUAACCUGGGAACUGCAUUUGAAACUGUCAGGCUGGAGUCUUGUAGAGGGGGGUGGAAUUCCAGGUGUAGCGGUGAAAUGCGUAGAGAUCUGGAGGAAUACCGGUGGCGAAGGCGGCCCCCUGGACAAAGACUGACGCUCAGGUGCGAAAGCGUGGGGAGCAACAGGAUUAGAUACCCCAGUAGUCCCUGUCUCUUAUACA
rnacentral:rRNA from 1 species